rnacentral:rRNA from 1 species
UUGACCUCGGAUCAGGUAGGGAUACCCGCUGAACUUAAGCAUAUCAUAAACCGGAAGGAAAUUUGUAGUCGCCCGGUGUGCUGAUGCAUGCACUAAAUAAAUGUGUAUAUAUUUAUUUUUGUAAAAUUGAUAUACUGAAAUAUGCAACCUGAGACAGAAUAUAAAUGUUUCUU